UCACUGCCUCUUCCUGUGCCAGUG
rnacentral:piRNA from 1 species